GAUGAACGCUAGCUACAGGCUUAACACAUGCAAGUCGAGGGGUAACGAGAGGAAAGCUUGCUUUCCUUGUCGACGACCGGCGCACGGGUGAGUAACGCGUAUCCAACCUGCCCCCAACUAGGGAAUAACCUUGCGACAGUAAGACUAAUACCCUAUAAUUUCCUCAGAUGUCAUCUGACGAGGAAUAAAGAUUUAUCGGUUGUGGAUGGGGAUGCGUCUGAUUAGCUUGUUGGCGGGGUAACGGCCCACCAAGGCAACGAUCAGUAGGGGUUAUGAGAGGAAGGUCCCCCACAUUGGAACUGAGACACGGUCCAAACUCCUACGGGAGGCAGCAGUGAGGAAUAUUGGUCAAUGGGCGGAAGCCUGAACCAGCCAAGUAGCGUGCAGGAUGACGACCCUAUGGGUUGUAAACUGCUUUUAUACAGGAAUAAAGUUAGCCACGUGUGGUUAUUUGUAGGUACUGUAUGAAUAAGGACCGGCUAAUUCCGUGCCAGCAGCCGCGGUAA
rnacentral:rRNA from 1 species